UACGGAGGGUGCAAACGUUGCUCGGAAUCAUUGGGCGUAAAGCGCACGUAGGUGGCUUGUUAAGUCGGGUGUGAAAUCCCUGGGCUCAACCCAGGAAGUGCACUCGAAACUGGCGAGCUUGAGUACUGAAGAGGGUCGCGGAAUUCCCGGUGUAGUGGUGGAAUGCGUAGAUAUCGGGAGGAACACCAGUGGCGAAGGCGGUUGCCUGGAGCUUUGCUGACGCUGAUGCGCGAAAGCGUGGGGAGCGAUCCGG
rnacentral:rRNA from 1 species